rnacentral:rRNA from 1 species
CACACCGCCCGUCACACCAUGGGAGUCAGUUGCUCUAGAAGUCGGUGCGCCAACCUUGUGAGGUAGCCGCCUAAAGAGUGACUGGUAACUGGGGUG